GGAGGCGCUCAAAGGUUUCCUCAGAAUGGUUGGAAAUCAUUCAUAGAGUGUAAAGGCAUAAGGAAGCUUGACUGCGAGACUUACAAGUCGAGCAGGGUCGAAAGACGGACUUAGUGAUCCGGUGGUUCCGCAUGGAAGGGCCAUCGCUCAACGGAUAAAAGCUACCCCGGGGAUAACAGGCUUAUCUCCCCCAAGAGUUCACAUCGACGGGGAGGUUUGGCACCUCGAUGUCGGCUCAUCGCAUCCUGGGGCUGUAGUCGGUCCCAAGGGUUGGGCUGUUCGCCCAUUAAAGCGGUACGCGAGCUGGGUUCAGAACGUCGUGAGACAGUUCGGUCCCUAUCCGUCGUGGGCGUAGGAAAUUUGAGAGGAGCUGUCCUUAGUACGAGAGGACCGGGAUGGACAUACCUCUGGUGUACCAGUUGUCGUGCCAACGGCAUCGCUGGGUAGCUAUGUAUGGACGGGAUAAGUGCUGAAAGCAUCUAAGCAUGAAGCCCCCCUCAAGAUGAG
rnacentral:rRNA from 1 species